rnacentral:rRNA from 1 species
UACGUAGGGGGCAAGCGUUGUCCGGAAUUAUUGGGCGUAAAGAGCGUGUAGGCGGUCCGGUCAGUCGGUUGUGAAAGUCAAGGGCUCAACCCUUGAAUGCCGGCCGAUACUGCCGGGCUAGAGUCCGGAAGAGGUGAGUGGAAUUCCUGGUGUAGCGGUGAAAUGCGCAGAUAUCAGGAGGAACACCGAUGGCGAAGGCAGGUCUCUGGGCAUUAACUGACGCUGAGGAGCGAAAGCAUGGGGAGCGAACAGG